UACGUAGGGGGCUAGCGUUGUCCGGAAUCAUUGGGCGUAAAGAGCGCGCAGGCGGUCGUUCAAGUCGAGUGUGAAAGCCCCCGGCUCAACUGGGGAGGGUCACUCGAUACUGAUCGACUCGAAGGCAGGAGAGGGAAGUGGAAUUCCCGGUGUAGUGGUGAAAUGCGUAGAUAUCGGGAGGAACACCAGUGGCGAAGGCGACUUCCUGGCCUGUUCUUGACGCUGAGGCGCGAAAGCUAGGGGAGCAAACGGG
rnacentral:rRNA from 1 species